UUGAAAGGGAAACGAUUGAAGUCAGUCAUGCUGGUGGGAAUCAACUUAGGGGAAACUCUAGGUGCACUUCUUCGCUUGGCAGGUUAACGUCGAUCUUGAAUGCCAUAAAAUAAUUGGGGGAAGGUAGCUCCUUCGGGAGUGUUAUAGCCCUUGAUAGAUGUGAUGUUUGGGGUCGAGGAUUGCAACGGAUACCCUUUGGGGCUAGCCGCCUGAUCUCUAAUCGGUGUUGGGUUACGGAUAGCAUGCUGACCGUUAUCUAAUUACUGGUUAAAAGGUUAGAGCGUGCAUAAAUUCGUUAAGGAUGUUGACGUA
rnacentral:rRNA from 1 species